rnacentral:rRNA from 1 species
AUGAAUUUCCUCUACCGAGCCGCGCAGCCCGAGCUGCCGCGGAUCCCCGAGCAGCAGGGGGUCCUCAAGACCCUGGAGGGCCUCAUCGCCGACGAUCCGCUCCGCAUCUCCGCCGCGGCGGAAGACGACGAAGCUGCCAGCAACGGAGCCGGGGAGAUCGGCGGCGACACCGCCGCUUCCUCUCCUUCCGCUUCUUCAGAUUCGAAAAGUACAGCUCCGGCCGGGAAGCACAGCGAUGUUUCCCAGGACGAAGGGUGGAUCACGAUUCCCAACAAGGAGCUUCCUGGGGAUUGGAGUGAGGUUUCGGACAUGCUGCAGCUGCGGCCGUUGGACCGCCCCUUCCUCUUUCCUGGCGAGCAGGUUCAUAUACUGGCGUGCCUAUCAGCCUCUCAGCAAGAUACGACCUGCAUAUCUCCGUUUAGAAUUGCUGCCGUGAUGUCUAAGAGCGGAAAUUCGCCGCGGCACCCCACAAAUAAAUCUAGCUCUGUCAGUGAGAAUGGGGAUGCAAAUGGAACAGCCGGAGAAAAUAGUUCUCACGGUGUUGAGGAUAACAUGGAGAGUGUUGAACUCAACGACAAAGCAUCUUCCCCUUCAAAACAAGAUAUUCUGGAGACUGAAUCCCUCCUUCGGAUGGAAGAUCGCAAACAGCAAAUAGAAACCGUGCUGCAAAAAUUCAAAAGAUCUAACUUCUUUGUUCGAAUUGCGGAGUCAGAUGAACCUCUCUGGUCCAAGAAAAGAGUAGCUGCAACUAAGACGGCAGAUGAACAAUUAUAUUCGGAUAGCCAGGGAAAUAACACAGUUUCAAGGAGUACUGCUUACAAUACCAUUUCUGAUAAAGGAGUUUUUGAUGGUAGCACAUCCGGAGGAGUCGCUCGGGAUACUGUAAGGUGCUAUGCUCUGCAGAAUGGAGACAUCGUGGUUGUUUUGCAAGUGAAUGUUGGUGUUAGCAAUAUGGUAGAUCCAGUGCUUGAAGUUCUUCAAUUUGAGAAGUGUACAUCGAGCAAUUAUAUGCGUGAGAAUCUUGUAAACGGGCUUCCUAAUGGUUAUGAGGAUCCUUGUCAGGAGCUGCUUAGUUGGUUGCUCCCUUUAGAUCGCACACUACCUCCUCCUCGUUCUUUAUCACCUCCUACUCUCAAUCCCAGUAUAUCACACAAGCAAUCUUUUUCUGCUCCUGGGUCUCAAAUAUUUUCGUUAAGUCAUUUCCGAAGCUAUUCAAUGCCUUCAUCCUCCUUUGCCCUUGCCCAGCUUCCCAACUUAAGAUCACCCCCAAUAUCUGAAAAUCAAGAAUUUGUGCCUGAAAAGCCUGCAAAAACACCUGAUGUUAUAAAUGAUGGGCAGCUUUCCUUUAGAGGAGUUCCUUUGGAGCCUGAACGGUAUUCUGUACGCUGUGGUCUAGAAGGUGUAUAUCUACCAGGGAAAAGAUGGUCAAGAAAAGUUGAAAUAAUUCAACCAAUCGAAGUUCAUUCUUUUUCUGCCAAAUGUACUGCAGAAAAUCUUCUUUGUGUCUUAAUAAAGAACAUUGCUCCACGGCAUGUGCAAGACAUAGUUGUAUUCAUAGAUGCAAUUACUGUUGUCUUUGAGGAGGCAUCCAGAGGAGGCUCUCCUUUAUCUCUACCAAUUGCCAGUAUUGAGGUCGGACAUGGUCACAGUUUACCAAAUCUGUCACUCAGGCGGGGUGAAGAGCACUCGUUUAUUUUGAAGCCAGCAAUUAUGUCCUCCAGGGAUCGGAGGAUCAACAGCGAUGUACCUCUGACUUUGUCACUCCCAAAGUUGAGUGGAGCUGGCACAAAUACUUCCACGCCUAGGGUUAGCGAGCCCAGCGCUGGUCUUACUGAUCAGUAUGCUGUACUUAUAUCAUAUCGCUGCAAUUAUACAGAAUCAAAACUUUUCUUCAAGCAAGCCACAAGCUGGCAACCCUGUGCAGCUAGUGAUCUUAUGAUCUCUGUGUCUUCUGAACUGUCAUUACGAAAUCCUAGCCCGAGUGCUCGAGUUCCUCAACUCCCCGUGCAGGUCUUAACCCUUGAAGCUACUAAUAUGACUUCAGAAAACCUCACAUUAACUGUUCUUGCUCCAGAAGCAUCUGGUUCUUCUUCAGUUGUAUCAUUGAACUCAGCUCCAACCACACCUGAUGGUUCUUAUGAUAAUCUUAAUGAGCCUAUGAGAAGGUCUGGCUUGGGAAAACAUGGAACUGGUUUUCGGAGACUGAAUUCUGUUGUUGUCGGAUCUCCAAAAGAAAGUGACAAUGGAGGAAAUAGAAUGAGCACUUCAGCAGGCUGUACUCAUUUGUGGUUGCAGAGUGCAGUUCCCCUAGGGUGUGUUCCUGCACGGUCAAGCACCACUGUCAAGCUCGAGCUACUCCCGUUAACAGAUGGGAUCAUUACACUAGAUACAUUGCAAAUAACCAUAAAGGAGAAAGGUCUUACGUACAUACCGGAGCACUCCUUGGAGAUACACGCAUCGUCUGCCAUCUCAGCUGGAAGCUCAUACGGCAGGAUCCAGGAGCUGAAGCAGCCAGAUACUGCUGUUUCUGCCGAAGGCGGUGGUCUCCGCAUCAAAGUGGAUAAACUGGGACCAACGCUUUGUGUUAUCCGGGUUUGCAUAUAUGCAUUUAUAUGCGGAGUGCUGAGCGAUUUGGCAGGCUCGUCGAAAAACCUGUAUUGUUGUGUUGCAUAG